rnacentral:lncRNA from 1 species
AUUGAAGAUUACAAUAACAAACAAACAGAAGAUGAAAAAAUAUAGUCUCGUACAUUAACUUUCAUAAAUCAAAGCAAAUAUGUCGAAUAUUGACAAUUAGGACAACAAAAUAUUCACAGCUUGUUGACCUCAGUUUUCAUAAGGAUAAUGUCACCAACAAGUAGAUAUUUCACAUAGAUGCUUUACUGCGCACGGUAGCAAACCUUUAGUCACUCGUCAGCCUUUUUAGUGGUGAAAGAAGCGAUCGCGAGCACUUUGAUGAUCAAAUUAGAUGUUGAAGAAAGAAGGAAACAACACCCAUUUUAUAAGGUAAUAAAGUA